rnacentral:rRNA from 1 species
AUUGAACGCUAGCGGGAUGCCUUACACAUGCAAGUCGAACGAGUGGCGGACGGGUGAGUAAUAUAUCGGAACCUGCCUAGUAGCGGGGGAUCACUACUCGAAAGAGUGGCUAAUACCGCAUACCAUCGGAUCUGCCCAUAUCGGAUUAGCUAGUUGGUGGGGUAAAGGCUCACCAGGGCAACGAUCCGUAGCUGGUUUGAGAGGACGACCAGCCACACUGGAACUGCGACACGGCCCAGACUCCUACGGGAGGCAGCAGUGGGGAAUUUUGGACAAUGGGCGAAACCCUGAUCCAGCCAUCCCGCGUGUAUGAGAAGGCCUUCGGGUUGUAAAGUACUUUUGGCGGGGAAGCGGUAUCUGCAGAAUAAGCACCGGCUAACUACGUGCCAGCCGCCGCGGUAAUAC